rnacentral:misc_RNA from 1 species
AACGCACAUUGCGCCCCUUGGUAUUCCAUGGGGCAUGCCUGUUCGAGCGUCAUUUGUACCCUCAAGCUCUGCUUGGUGUUGGGUGUUUGUCCGCUCCGCCGUGUGUUGGACUCGCCUUAAAGCAAUUGGCAGCCAGUGUUUUGGUAUUGAAGCGCAGCACAUUUUGCGAUUCUAGCCCAAAGACUUGCGUCCAUAAGCCUUUUUUAACUUUUGACCUCGGAUCAGGUAGGGAUACCCGCCGAACUUAA